AGGGUUUUAAUUUAAUUAAAGUGUCUGGGUUGCAUUCAGAAGAUGCAGGAUAUGGUCCUGCAAAUCCUA
rnacentral:tRNA from 1 species